rnacentral:rRNA from 1 species
GAUGAACGCUGGCGGCGUGCCUAAUACAUGCAAGUCGAGCGAACAGACGAGGAGCUUGCUCCUCUGACGUUAGCGGCGGACGGGUGAGUAACACGUGGAUAACCUACCUAUAUGACUGGGAUAACUUCGGGAAACCGGAGCUAAUACCGGAUAAUAUAUUGAACCGCAUGGUUCAAUAGUGAAAGACGGUUUUGCUGUCACUUAUAGAUGGAUCCGCGCCGCAUUAGCUAGUUGGUAAGGUAACGGCUUACCAAGGCAACGAUGCGUAGCCGACCUGAGAGGGUGAUCGGCCACACUGGAACUGAGACACGGUCCAGACUCCUACGGGAGGCAGCAGUAGGGAAUCUUCCGCAAUGGGCGAAAGCCUGACGGAGCAACGCCGCGUGAGUGAUGAAGGUCUUCGGAUCGUAAAACUCUGUUAUUAGGGAAGAACAAAUGUGUAAGUAACUAUACACGUCUUGACGGUACCUAAUCAGAAAGCCACGGCUAACUACGUG